ensembl:snRNA U1 U1 spliceosomal RNA
UUAAAAACCUAACGGGAGAUACCAUGAUCAUGAAGGUGGUUUUUCCCAGAGUGAGGCUUUUCCAUUGUACUCCAAUGUGCUGGCCCCUGCGAUUUCCCCAAAUGUGGGAAACUCAAACUAUAUAAUUUGUGGUGGUUGGGGACUGCGUUCAUGCUUUCCCCUA